AUGCGCCGCUUGCUGUUUCUAGUUUUUCGGUUUGGUUUUCUUUUCAGUAGUCUCCCCAAAGGCUGUUGUGGGCACGAUGUGUAUCUUUUCUGUUCUUCCAGGAUUCAUUUGUCAGGAAAGACGACCGUGAAAUCUAAGGGCUGUGGACAACCAUCUGCCAGCUGGUUGUUGCAGACGCCUUCGGUCAUGUUAUUUGUCCUUUUAGCUUGCCCUUUACUAUCUGGAGUUGAUUUUUUUUUGCAGCGCUAUGUUUAUAGUGGUAACAUUGCUGCCAAGAUGUUUUUGACUAAAAAUGAUCUUAACUGUAGUAGUGAAUUCACAGUGUGGCUUUGUGUAAUGACUCCCAUGAUCACAACUUUUUUUUUUCCCUUUGUCACGGAUAGGAGAAAAGCUCUUUCCAGAGAGAUGGAGAAGGAAGGAAUUAUACCUCUGUCUCAUCCUGUGAGACCAGAAGACGCAACAAGGACACAGGUUCUUUGGAUCGCCGGCGAUAAAUUCACUGUCCGCGAAAGCAAGCGAGCACGCAUGAAAUACACAGCGUCCCAGUGCGGGGGGAAGAGAGGCUCAGCUCAUCGACUGAUCCUGGAAGUCAGAAAGGUACACGGGUCUGAGAAACUCAGAGCAUGCCCUCAGUGAGGGGUGGUCGCACCUUGGAGGCACGGAGCUUUUGGGAUGGAGGCAAUUACUCCACAACUGCCCAAAGCAGCGAUAGUGAGAAGCCCACUUCCACCAUCCCCUCCCCACGUAGGGACGGACAGACGGAUGCCGCUCUUUGCCUUGCCCGCCAGGGGAAGGGGAGAACGACCGGGCAGGGAGCCCCACCGCAGCCCCCCGCCCGGGAGUCCUGCACAGCAGUUUAAUAAAGUUUGCUUUCUGGCCCA
rnacentral:lncRNA from 1 species